UACGAAGGGGGCUAGCGUUGUUCGGAAUUACUGGGCGUAAAGCGUGCGCAGGCGGCUUCUCAAGUCAGGGGUGAAAGCCCAGAGCUCAACUCUGGAACUGCCUUUGAGACUGAGAGGCUUGAGUACGGGAGAGGUGAGUGGAAUUCCCAGUGUAGAGGUGAAAUUCGUAGAUAUUGGGAAGAACACCGGUGGCGAAGGCGGCUCACUGGCUCAUUUCUGACGCUCAGGCGCGACAGCGUGGGGAUCAAACAGG
rnacentral:rRNA from 1 species